CUGGGUAUGCCGUGGUGGAGCACCAGAAAUAGCCUCAGACUUUGUAGGGGAGCUACUGACGUGGGGAGAAGAGGAAUUUCAGGAUUCUGUCAGUGCGUAAAGGGGUGGCAGAGCUCCAGAUGGGGUUCCCCACCUUACAAGCUGGAGCAGAAUUUGAACCUGUGCUGCUUUUACAGCAGAAAUAGGUUUUCACAUCUGUCUGCUCUUCCAGCAACACACUCUGUGCCAAGGGAGUGUCUGCUAUCUGCUGCACUGAAAACCUGACGGGACCCAGCAGCAAGAUCAAUGCUUACAGGAUUUUCCUGAGGCUAUAAAGCUUCUGGAUGAGUUUUCAUUUUUGCUGGCUGGGAAAAGAGGUGAAUUGGCUGCUUGUCUCCUGCGGGGAUGCUUUUGGGGCAGCUCAGCAUGUUCCUGCCGGCAGCUUCUCGCAGCCUGACCUACCUACAGCCGUGACUCGUCCACCGCCUCCCUGGGCCAGGAUGGUGUCCCCUGCUUCAACCUUUGCUCACUCCUGCACUGAUUUGAAGUCUGACCGUAGAGGUGAAUUAUCUGCACUGCCUUUUUGGAGCCAUCUGGGUGACAUGGUGAGGCGGCCCUGGAUAUUUGUCUGUAUGCUGAACUGAUGUAAAGGUAUGCCUGUGCUGUGCUUGUGAUGGCGGCUCAGGUAGAUGGAACCAAUACAGGUGAGGCAUACUGGUGGCAUAAGACAUAGCUGACGCUCCAACUUGUCCAAGAAAGGCACAGGUGGGCGUAGAGUUCCCACACUGUUAUGCUGUUGAAUCGUACGAGAAGGAAGAUCCUUUAGGAUAGGUGAAUGGUAAGCACAGCAAUGAGUGUAUUGUAACCAUACUGUGAACUCGCCUUGCUGUCCUGGCUUUACCUGACUAGUUGCCGUGAACUUUGGAUUUGUCAGCUGAGUUGCCCUUGGGUUUUUUCUAAUCUUCUUCAGACAGUUAAAGAGAUUCCCACGUGGCUGGGGUAAAUGCCAAGCUGUAGGCAGCAAUAGUUUAUAAUCCUUUCAAGAACAUUGGCACUAGUCUUUAAAAUAUCUGUAAGUUAAGUCAAGAGCACUUUUUUUUUU